GACGAACGCUGGCGGCGUGCCUAAUACAUGCAAGUGGAACGCAUGAUUGAUACCGGAGCUUGCUCCACCAUUAAUCAUGAGUCGCGAACGGGUGAGUAACGCGUAGGUAACCUACCUCAUAGCGGGGGAUAACUAUUGGAAACGAUAGCUAAUACCGCAUAACAGUAUUUAUCACAUGGUAAAUGCUUGAAAGGAGCAAUUGCUUCACUAUGAGAUGGACCUGCGUUGUAUUAGCUAGUUGGUGGGGUAACGGCUCACCAAGGCAUCGAUACAUAGCCGACCUGAGAGGGUGAUCGGCCACACUGGGACUGAGACACGGCCCAGACUCCUACGGGAGGCAGCAGUAGGGAAUCUUCGGCAAUGGGGGGAACCCUGACCGAGCAACGCCGCGUGAGUGAAGAAGGUUUUCGGAUCGUAAAGCUCUGUUGUAAGAGAAGAACGUGUGUGAGAGUGGAAAAUUCACACAGUGACGGUAACUUACCAGAAAGGGACGGCUAACUACGUGCCAGCAGCCGCGGUAAUACGUAGGUCCCGAGCGUUGUCCGGAUUUAUUGGGCGUAAAGCGAGCGCAGGCGGUUUGAUAAGUCUGAAGUAAAAGGCUGUGGCUUAACCAUAGUAUGCUUUGGAAACUGUCAAACUUGAGUGCAGAAGGGGAGAGUGGAAUUCCAUGUGUAGCGGUGAAAUGCGUAGAUAUAUGGAGGAACACCGGUGGCGAAAGCGGCUCUCUGGUCUGUAACUGACGCUGAGGCUCGAAAGCGUGGGGAGCGAACAGGAUUAGAUACCCUGGUAGUCCACGCCGUAAACGAUGAGUGCUAGGUGUUGGGUCCUUUCCGGGACUCAGUGCCGCAGCUAACGCAUUAAGCACUCCGCCUGGGGAGUACGACCGCAAGGUUGAAACUCAAAGGAAUUGACGGGGGCCCGCACAAGCGGUGGAGCAUGUGGUUUAAUUCGAAGCAACGCGAAGAACCUUACCAGGUCUUGACAUCCCAGUGACCGUCCUAGAGAUAGGAUUUUUCUUCGGAACACUGGAGACAGGUGGUGCAUGGUUGUCGUCAGCUCGUGUCGUGAGAUGUUGGGUUAAGUCCCGCAACGAGCGCAACCCCUAUUGUUAGUUGCCAUCAUUCAGUUGGGCACUCUAGCGAGACUGCCGGUAAUAAACCGGAGGAAGGUGGGGAUGACGUCAAAUCAUCAUGCCCCUUAUGACCUGGGCUACACACGUGCUACAAUGGCUGGUACAACGAGUCGCAAGUCGGUGACGACAAGCUAAUCUCUUAAAGCCAGUCUCAGUUCGGAUUGUAGGCUGCAACUCGCCUACAUGAAGUCGGAAUCGCUAGUAAUCGCGGAUCAGCACGCCGCGGUGAAUACGUUCCCGGGCCUUGUACACACCGCCCGUCACACCNCGAGAGUUUGUAACACCCGAAGUCGGUGAGGUAACCAUUUGGAGCCAGCCGCCUAAGGUGGGAUAGAUGAUUGGGUGAGUCGUAACAAGGUAGCCGUAUCGGAAGGUGCGGCUGGAUCACCUCCUUUCU
rnacentral:rRNA from 1 species